rnacentral:tRNA from 1 species
ACUAUUUUGGCAGAAAAGUGCGGUAAAUUUAGAAUUUAUUUAUGUAGGUAUUCUACAAAUAGUA